UUAACUUCACCACACUGGAUGUAAAUUGUAGCUUUAAAAACCACUGCAGCUGUUUGAGUCCCGCUCAGACGAUCAUAAUGUUGCUGAUGUUUUUGCAUGCAGAUGCAGACACAGAUCCUAAGGCAUGGCUGUAUGCUGCCGUUAUCAUCCCAUUGAUGCUGGCCUGCCUGGUAGCCCUACUCUUUGUGUGUUGCAGGAAGAAUAAGGAAUAUAUUUUCCCCAAAAUACCAGAACCUCGGGACCUCCUCAGCGAUAUUUCAGAAAACAACAACAAGAGCACUGUUCUUAACCUGUACAUCCCAGCACAGGAAGAAGGCAACUGUAAAAUCACACUUGUGGUAGAUCCCCUUAUCAACAAACUGGACUUCUGACAGAUCAUCUGCAGUUGCAACAUCUAGAAUCUGCAAAGUCCUCCGCAUGCUUGUUUGCCAAUACUGGCUCAAAAAAGACAAAACAGUUUUACAGAUGAAUCCAGGAUAUGUUAUUAAUAAGGACUUUUCAGUGACAGGGAGCUUCCCUAUGUGAUCUCACUGAUAUAGUUUACAGUGCUGGGUAUAGACUCUUUUUAGAAUAAGUUCUAAAGCCGAGACAAAGCUUUGAGUUACCUGUUUUAACCCUUUAAGUGACACCUAAGCCCUCAAGACAGUAGCUGCACAUUGAAGCCUGCAGAUCUGCUUAUUGUCGCUGGUCUUGCUGGAUCUGAGAUGAUUGUGGGGAACAAGUUACGCUUUACUUCUCCAGUGAAUUGUUUAUAUUUAUGGCAGCUCUGACAUGUUUGUAGAGCUGACAAUCACAUGAAGGGAAUUAUAUUUGCUGUCUGGAGAUUGUGCACAUUGCAGGAUAAAGCUCCCAUCUACUGUGAGUAUUACCCCCAUCUUUUUUUUAUUUUCUUUAAAUGUCUGCAACUGUAAAAAUGUAUGAAGCACUCGUGAAAAAAUACUGAUAUGUCAAUAAUGGUGUUGUGCCCAGACUGGCUAUUGCUGGGUGCUACUUUUUAAUAGUUUAUCAUUUGUUUUAUUCCAUUUCCUUUCAUAGUUUUUCAAUAAAACAAACAUAAGAUAUCAGGCUUUCAGACUUGCAGAUUUAAAGGAGCAGUUUGACAUUUUAAGAAAAUACUCAUUCUUGUCAAGAGUUAGAUGAUAAAAUUGAUACCACUUUAACAUCUAUAUGCUAAAUAUGUAGCUGGAUCUAUCUUAGCUUAGCACAGAGACUGGAAACGGGGGGGGGAAACUGCUAGCUUUGAUCAAUCCAAUGGUGAAAAUCUACCUACCAGCACCUCUCAAGUUCACUUCAGGAUUUAGAAACAUUUUAAUUGUAUAAUUAACUUCACAUUUAACAAGUUAUAUCCAAUUUGUGAACUGUUUUUAAUUUUUUUGUUAAAGCAUCAUAUUAUGGUUUGUUAAACAGAAUACACUGUGUCCUUAAUGUAAUUUAUGAAAAAUAUAUAUAAAGUUGGUCCUAAGGCAGACCCAAAUAUCGCCCUGCAGAGCAUAUUUGGGCAAGAACACCUGGACUUUCUGAUAUAAUCAAACCUUCAGUAUCAAACCAACUAAUUUAAGGCCGAUCAAGUCUUUAUAAUUAGUGUGAAUUUUAGCUAAAUGUAAAGCAAAACUGACUUCUAAGAAAAGUAACACUGAUGGUGAUUCAUUGCCCAGACAGAGAAGUUUCAGUUCUGCACAGUUUUAGAGUUGCAGUGAAUUUCUUCAGUUACUGAAAAAAGCCACACGGAUGUGUCGAAAUUUGGUUUGAAAUUGCUUAAUUUUUCAGAGCUCGUAGCUUUUUUUUAAGAGCAGUUGAACAAUUGCAUUUCUGAAAAUGACUGAGAUGCUAUCAAAGAGCUCCUGCCUGUUGUGUUGAUGAUAUUGCAGAUU